rnacentral:misc_RNA from 1 species
GUACAAUAGCAAAACAGGACAACUAACCAAAAUGGAAGAUAGUAAAGAGGUGGUUCAUCCGUCGCACUUUGAUAACUCCGCCCUUUCCAACUCUUAACGGACUUCUCAAAGCCUCUCAGAGGAGCUUUGAUACUUAAACCAUCCAAGAAUUCCUACAUUGCCUCACUCACAUUAGAUCUUCUUCUCUUCGUCGGAGCUCUAACACUGCUCACCAGAAAACCAAAAUGCACUCGUCAUUUUCGCUUUCCCUCUCUCAACCCAUUACAGUUCCCAGAUCAAAUCACGCGUUUGAUUCCAUCCCUUUCGCUCCCUCCAAGCCUAUAAAUCUCCGAUUUUGUGGUCUGAGAAGGGAGACCUUGGGCUUCUCUUCUCUUUCUCGUUCUCACUCUCGGCGAGGACUUCAGCUGCACACUACAACUACUUCAAAAGGAAUUUCAGCUUCUCUCGCUGAUAAUGGAAGCCCUCCAAAGUCGUUCGAUUACGAUUUGAUCAUUAUCGGAGCUGGUGUUGGUGGUCAUGGGGCUGCACUUCAUGCUGUCGAGAAGGGCCUGAAGACUGCUAUCAUUGAGGGAGAUGUGGUUGGAGGCACAUGUGUAAACAGAGGAUGCGUUCCUUCCAAAGCUCUUCUGGCUGUUAGUGGUCGCAUGCGGGAGCUUCAGAGCGAGCAUCAUAUGAGAGCUUUGGGUCUGCAGGUUUCAGCAGCCGGGUAUGACAGACAGGGAGUUGCUGAUCACGCAAACAACCUUGCUUCAAAAAUUCGUAACAAUUUAACAAAUUCUUUAAAGGCACUUGGUGUGGACAUAUUGACGGGGCUUGGCGCAGUUUUGGGCCCACAAAAGGUGAAGUAUGGGAAAGCUGGUUUUCCUGACAACAUAGUGACUGCAAAAGAUAUAAUUAUAGCUACUGGUUCUGUUCCUUUUGUGCCCAAGGGCAUUGAAGUUGAUGGGAAGACUGUAAUUACAAGUGACCAUGCACUCAAACUGGAGUUUGUUCCUGAUUGGAUUGUAAUUGUAGGAAGUGGUUAUAUUGGUCUAGAAUUCAGUGAUGUAUAUACUGCACUUGGAAGUGAGGUCACCUUUGUUGAAGCUCUAGAUCAGCUUAUGCCUGGCUUUGAUCCUGAGAUUGGGAAGUUGGCUCAAAGAGUACUCAUAAAUCCAAGGAAAAUUGACUAUCAUACUGGAGUAUUUGCAAGCAAGAUCACUUCAGCAAAGGAAGGGAAACCUGUCACUAUUGAGCUUAUUGAUGCCAAGACCAAGGAACACAAAGAUACUUUGGAGGUGAUUUGAGUUAUGUGAAAUCAAGAAGUUUGAGCGUCAGAUCCUGAUAAGAAUCUUUAUUACUGUCCUAUGAAGUAAAAACAUGUUGCUUAGUUCCUUCCACUCCAAUAUAGUUCCUUCCACUUCAAAUAUUGGAGUGGAGAGGUCCAUUGAUUAAAAUUUUUAAUCAUUCUGCCAGUAUAUUUUGAUUUGGUCAUAUUCAUCCAUUAAAUUCUUGUGUUGUUAACUAGUUGAAACAAACUUGGUUAAUGAACUUACAUAUCCUAUUUUUAGGAACUUGUGGUAGACUAGUUAAUAUGCAAAUGGACCCUUUUUUUUAUUUGUCUAAAUAAUGUGAGUUAAAGUUCUAUAUUUUGGUACUUAUUUAAUCACCAUUCACAAGGAUAGUGAUAGCAGAAACUAGAAAGUAUUGAAAACUUGAAUAUGUGUGGUUCCUGCUUUCUUAUUGUCAGGCAAUUAGCAACACAGAUGCGCAUAAUAUUGACCUUACGUAAACAUUCAAACUACGGAUUGUAUUCAAAUUCUAUGUUAGCAAUAAUGAUCUUUCUUUAAUGUGUGAUGCGUAUGUCAUGACAUCUGUGGUAACUUUGUCUUUGCUUUGGCUAUAGGUUGAUGCAGCUUUAAUUGCAACCGGAAGAGCUCCAUUCACAAAUGGUCUUGGUUUGGAGAAUAUCAAUGUUGUGACACAACGUGGUUUUGUCCCUGUUGAUGAUCGUAUGCGUGUUAUUGAUGCUGACGGAAAUCUGGUACCUCACUUGUAUUGUAUUGGUGAUGCAAAUGGUAAAAUGAUGCUUGCUCAUGCAGCCAGCGCACAAGGAAUUUCAGGUUAAUUGUAAAUAGUUAUGUUGAUUGUUACUUCAAAAUCUGGUGCUUUCUUUUAACCCAUUUUAUGUUUUUCAUGUACAGUGGUUGAACAAAUCACCGGAAGAGAUCAUGUGCUAAAUCAUUUAAGCAUUCCAGCAGCUUGUUUCACUCAUCCUGAAAUCAGUAUGGUUGGAUUGACAGAGGUGCCUUUUUACAUUCAAUAUUUCUUUCUUAUGUUGCUUCAUUUGUCUAUUUCCUUUUUGAUUGUCAAAUUCAAGUAGGAGGUCUAAUUUUGCUUUCUUUUUACAUAUGAUGUACUGUUAACUGAACAUUACAUUCUCAGCCUCAAGCAAGGGAGAAAGGUGAAACAGAAGCAUUUGAAGUAAGUGUUGCCAAGACAAGUUUUAAGGCCAACACAAAGGCCCUUGCAGAAAAUGAAGGAGAGGGACUUGCCAAGGUUACAUUUCUCAACUGCUUUCCUUCUUCAAUAGUGUUUUCUGCAAACAUAAUGCAAAUAGUCAUUGUCUUCCUGUUGUCGUCCUCUUUAAAUGGAUAGCUAGUGAUUAUCUUUCUAGAGCUGUUCCUUGGCAGUUUAUUGGUACAUAAAUUAUUUAAUCAUUAUCUAAAUUUGUUGAAUGCUAUAUGAUCUCUCGCAUUGUUGAUGGGCAUCAUGAAGUGCAAUAUCAUUCAUCUUAGAUCCAAUGCACCAUAUCUGAAAUCGAUGUAACUGACAAUUAAAUAAUAGGAAUUAUUUUAUGCUUUAUGAUCUUUUUAGCUUUGUAAAGGAUUUGCUUGAUCUGUUGUAUUCAUAUAUGGCUCAAGUGAAGAUGAGAUGUGCAAUUGUCAAGUGCUAAAUUUCCACACUUAAACAAGGAUCUUAAACAAGAAUAGUAUCCAGUAGAUAUAUCUGUGAAGUAUAGAUUUUCUUAUGUAAAAUUUUGUCAAGCAUUAAAUAAUAUUGAAGCAGGUAAGCAACUAAAGCAAAGUUUCUGUUGAUGUUGUUUGUCCAUUCCCUCAGUUGCCCCAUUUUUCUCUUCUCAUGCUAUGCUUUCUUUAUCAUGAAGAAAAGUUAAUUCCUGGAACUGUUCCAUAGUCAUUUUUGGUACUUAAUUAGUUGCAUCUACUUAGUAGCAAGGUGUGAGAAAUCAAAAGAAAAGAAGCAUGAAUUUGUGGGUAUUUCCCCCAUUGAAUAACCAUAUUGGUUUCCAAAUGAAGUUUGUUAGGUGUUUUAUAUAAUAUGGACCAAUAGUUUUACAUUGGAUGAACCAACAUGAUGUUAGAGGUUAAUUUCAUUAUGCCAUUUCGUUUUUGUUACUGUCUAUCAUGUGUGUAAUGUUGGUAUGUAUUACGUAGGCUUGCAUUUGGAGGCUUGUUCAAUAAUCCCAUGAAUUUUGGUGCGGCCUUGUAUGGUGUAUAGACCUCUUCACCCAAUAGCUUAAACUUUUAUAUGCUUCCUCACUCCCUCCAUGCUGUGUGCUUGUUUUCUUGCUGCAUCCACUAAAUGUACCUUUUAGAUUUUGAUUUUGAUUUGACAUGCAAGAUUUUCAGUUACCACUUUGGAUUGUAAUUUAAUCUAAUAUGACUAACUUCCAUGGUUGCUAUGUUUUAAUCUUCAUGCAGUUGAUAUAUAGACCUGACACUGGGGAGAUACUUGGAGUUCAUAUUUUUGGGUUGCAUGCUGCUGAUCUCAUCCAUGAAGCAUCCAAUGCUAUAGCGUUGGGGACCCGCAUUCAGGAUAUAAAAUUUGCUGUACAUGCACAUCCAACUCUGUCUGAAGUCCUUGAUGAACUUUUUAAAUCAGCAAAGGUGAGUUUCUCAUCCAAUAUUCACUUCUAAUAUCACAUCAACCAUCACUGUACUUGUCUUUUUUUUCCUUGUGUUUGAUGCGAACAGAAAAGAAAAUGAAACUGAUAAAAGGCAAUUUCUUGGUUAUGAAACUGAUAGAAAGGUUUGGCUUGGUUUUUUGGUUAUGACAUUAUAUCCACACUCACCUUCGAAUGGAAAUUACUGAAUGCAACACCACACAUAUUAUUGAUACAAAUAUUUGCUCGGAUUGAGCUACUCUGCAAUUAAAAACUCUCUUAACAAAUUUUUUUUUUUCUAUAAAAUGCAUUUUGUUGAGUAUAAUACCUGUUUUCACAAAAAGUUUUCUAAUUUCCCAGUCCUGAUAUUGUUCACACACAUUUGUUGCAUAUAUUUUUGUUUAGCUGAAGACAGCACCAUCCAUGUACAAGCUAGUGACCGAAGUUUUUAAUUUAUGGGGCAGGUUGAAGCUCAUGUUUCAAGCCAGGUGAGUGAACCAGUUGCAGUCUAGGCAUCUCAGUACUAAUAGUACAAAAUUUUGAAGAAAUUUGCUUGUGUUAAAAAGUGCCAAGGAACUAUAUGCUCCUAGACUGGAGAAGUCAACAAAUAUGUUCUGCUGUUAGAAGAAACAUCUUAAAAAAAUUUUACGAUUUUCUUGGAGGUCGGUGGGAUGGGAAUAUCUUUUGGGUGUUGCAUUGGUUUCUUGAGCUUGUUGUAAAUCUGUUUAAAUACCAGUCCGUAGGUAUUUAAGUGUAAGAUGAAUUUUAUGCUAUAAUUUGGACAAUGACUCCACAUGAGUUCGUAAUAGAGCUCAGCAUUCUGAUGUUAUCAUUUGACCGAGGAAGCGAGAAAUGCUUGGCGGAUCAAUACGGUGUAAACUGCUGUUACCAUUUCAAAAAUUUUUGUUAAUAA